CUGCGGACCAAUAUAGCAGCAUCAGAUUGGGUUUGAUUUGGACUAUUUACCCUUGAGGCAUCCGAUCAGUUGAGUUUUUGGUUACAGUAGUAGUUUCGUUCUUGCUCAGUUAUUAUCCUGUUUCUAUUACUACUGUAGUUGCUCUUAUAUCACAUCAUGCUCAUAUCUGUAGUUCUGUUUCAUAUCAGCAAAUAUAUUU
rnacentral:lncRNA from 1 species